UACGUAGGGGGCAAGCGUUGUCCGGAUUUAUUGGGCGUAAAGAGCGUGUAGGCGGCCUGGCAAGUCCGCUGUGAAAACUCGAGGCUUAACCUCGAGACGUCGGCGGAAACUGCCUGGCUAGAGUCCGGAAGAGGAGAGUGGAAUUCCUGGUGUAGCGGUGAAAUGCGCAGAUAUCAGGAAGAACACCCGUGGCUAAGGCGGCUCUCUAGUACGGUACUGACGCUGAGACGCGAAAGCGUGGGGAGCGAACAGG
rnacentral:rRNA from 1 species